rnacentral:sRNA from 1 species
UGCCGAAGUCCUGGCCAACUCGCUGGAUA